ensembl:lncRNA
CAUGAAAGCAUCUCUGAUACGCUGUAUCUUGGUCAUCUGUCUGGCAGUCCAGCAUUGCCAGAGGAUCUUUUGGAUCCAGUUUGUCUCAUGGUCCAUGGAUUGGGGUUUUCCCAGGAGAUUCACUCCACAGAUUCCAGUCAAGUCUAGAAGCUUGACUGGGCUGGAAUCUGUGCAGUUUGGAAAGGCAGCUGUCUUCAGGGAGUGCCGUUGCCAUGGUGGAUGUGUGCUUGGCUUGUAACUACAUUUAGAGAAAGAAAAGCGUUGCAUACCUGUCCUUGAGAGAUUCAGCAGCAGCAGGCAGAAAACAACAAGCACGACUUUCAGACUGUCUGCAGUGGAUGACCUUGAUUUCAGACGUGUGGAAACGGCUCAUUCGGACACUGUGAAGC